CCCCAGACUCCUACGGGAGGCAGCAGUGGGGAAUAUUGGGCAACGGAGGAAACUCUGACCCAGCAACGCCGCGUGAAUGAUGAAGGUCUUCGGAUUGUAAAGUUCUUUUCUAAGGGAAGAAGAAAGUGACGGUACCUUAGGAAUAAGCCUCGGCUAACUACGUGCCAGCAGCCGCGGUAAUACGGAGGAUGCGAGCGUUAUCCGGAUUUAUUGGGUUUAAAGGGUGCGCAGGCGGGCUGUUAAGCCGGCGGUAAAAAUUCAGGGCUCAACCCUGUCGAGCCGUCGGAACUGGCAGUCUUGAGUGGGCGAGAAGUAUGCGGAAUGCGUGGUGUAGCGGUGAAAUGCAUAGAUAUCACGCAGAACGCCGAUUGCGAAGGCAGCAUACCGGCGCCCAACUGACGCUGAGGCACGAAAGCGUGGGGAUCGAACAGGAUUAGAUACCCCCGUAA
rnacentral:rRNA from 1 species